UACGUAGGGGGCAAGCGUUGUCCGGAUUUAUUGGGCGUAAAGAAGCGUGUAGGCGGGCUUGGCAAGUCUGCUGUGAAACUCGAGGCUCAACCUCGAGCUGUCGGCGGAAACUGCUUGGCUAGAGUCCGGAAGAGGAGAGUGGAAUUCCGUGGUGUAGCGGUGAAAUGCGCAGAUAUCAGGAAGAACACCUAUGCGAAGGCAGCUCUCUGGGACGGUACUGACGCUGAGACGCGAAAGCGUGGGGAGCGAACAGG
rnacentral:rRNA from 1 species